CAGUAGCCGCGGUAAUACAGAGGGUGCGAGCGUUAAUCGGAUUUACUGGGCGUAAAGCGUGCGUAGGCGGCUUCUUAAGUCGGAUGUGAAAUCCCUGAGCUUAACUUAGGAAUUGCAUUCGAUACUGGGAAGCUAGAGUAUGGGAGAGGAUGGUAGAAUUCCAGGUGUAGCGGUGAAAUGCGUAGAGAUCUGGAGGAAUACCGAUGGCGAAGGCAGCCAUCUGGCCUAAUACUGACGCUGAGGUACGAAAGCAUGGGGAGCAAACAGGAUUAGAUACCCGGGUAGUCCCUGUCUCUUAUAA
rnacentral:rRNA from 1 species